rnacentral:rRNA from 1 species
GACGAACGCUGGCGGCGUGCUUAACACAUGCAAGUCGUACGGUAAGGCCCUUUCGGGGGUACACGAGUGGCGAACGGGUGCGUAACACGUGAGUAACCUGCCCACAACUUUGGGAUAACGCUAGGAAACUGGUGCUAAUACUGGAUAUGUGCUCCUGCUGCAUGGUGGGGGUUGGAAAGCUCCGGCGGUUGUGGAUGGACUCGCGGCCUAUCAGCUUGUUGGUGGGGUAGUGGCCUACCAAGGCGGCGACGGGUAGCCGGCCUGAGAGGGUGACCGGCCACAUUGGGACUGAGAGACGGCCCAGACUCCUACGGGAGGCAGCAGUGGGGAAUAUUGCACAAGGGGCGCAAGCCGGAUGCAGCAACGCCGCGUGCGGGAUGACGGCCUUCGGGUUGUAAACCGCUUUCAGCAGGGACGAAGCUUUUUGUGACGGUACCUGCAGAAGAAGCACCGGCUAACUACGUG